rnacentral:rRNA from 1 species
GACGAACGCUGGCGGCGUGCUUAACACAUGCAAGUCGAACGGAAAGGCCCUGCUUUUGUGGGGUGCUCGAGUGGCGAACGGGUGAGUAACACGUGAGUAACCUGCCCUUGACUUUGGGAUAACUUCAGGAAACUGGGGCUAAUACCGGAUAGGAGCUCCUGCUGCAUGGUGGGGGUUGGAAAGUUUCGGCGGUUGGGGAUGGACUCGCGGCUUAUCAGCUUGUUGGUGGGGUAGUGGCUUACCAAGGCUUUGACGGGUAGCCGGCCUGAGAGGGUGACCGGCCACAUUGGGACUGAGAUACGGCCCAGACUCCUACGGGAGGCAGCAGUGGGGAAUAUUGCACAAUGGGCGGAAGCCUGAUGCAGCAACGCCGGGUGCGGGAUGACGGCCUUCGGGUUGUAAACCGCUUUCGCCUGUGACGAAGCGUGAGUGACGGUAAUGGGUAAAGAAGCACCGGCUAACUACGU